rnacentral:rRNA from 1 species
UUUCCCGGUUGAUCCUGCCGGAGGUCACUGCUAUUGGAGUUCGAUUAAGCCAUGCGAGUCAAGAGUUCUUCGUGAACUCGGCGGGACUGCUCAGUAACACGUGGGUAAUCUACCCUAAGGUCAGGGAUAAUCCCGGGAAACUGGGAAUAAUACCUGAUAGGUGAAGAUGUCUGGAACGAUACUUCGCCCAAAGCUCCGGCGCCUUAGGAUGAGCCUGCGCCCGAUUAGGUUGUUGGUGGUGUAAAGGACCACCAAGCCCGUUAUCGGUACGGGUGUUGAGAGACAUAGCCCGGAGAUGGGGGCUGAGACACGGCCCCAGGCCCUACGGGGCGCAGCAGGCGCGAAAACUACGCAAUGCGCGAAAGCGUGACGUGGGAACUCCAAGUGCCUUGCCUUAGGGUAAGGCUUUUGUUUAGUGUAAGUAGCUAAACGAAUAAGUGCUGGGUAAGACCGGUGCCAGCCGCCGCGGUAACACCGGCAGCGCAAGUGGUGACCGCUUUUAUUGGGCCUAAAGCGUUCGUAGCCGGUUUGGUAAGUCUUUGGGUUAAAUCCUCCAGCUUAAUUGGAGGAAUUCCGGAGAUACUGCCAGACUUGGAGUUGAGAGAGGUCAGAGGUACCUCUGGGGUAGGGGUGAAAUCCUAUAAUCCUAGGGGGACCACCAGUGGCGAAGGCGUCUGACUAGAGCAAGCUCGACGGUGAGGGACGAAAGCCAGGGGCGCGAACGGGAUUAGAUACCCCGGUAGUCCUGGCCGUAAACGCUGCGCGCUAGGUGUUGCAUGCUCUACGAGGGCGUGCAGUGCCGAAGAGAAGUUGAUAAGCGUGCCGCCCUGGGAAGUAUUACCGCAAGGUAAAAACUUAAAGGAAUUGGCGGGGGAGCACCACAAGGGGUGGAGUCUGCGGUUCAAUUGGAUUCAACGCCGGG